CUCACUCUCUCCCCCAAUAACCUCGUUCCAACCCUCUCUAGCAACCCCUCCGUAGGUGCCACCUCUGCCGGUGUUCCCUACGUCGGUGCUCCUUCCGUCUCUCCUGUAAACACCUAUCCCUCCUUCGGCGGUGACUCACUCUGGUAAGGCCUCCCUCGGCGCUCACUCUCUAUCGCAAACUCUCUGUCGACGCUCACUCUCUCUCGCAAACCCUCAAUCGUCACUCCUCCCUCCAUGGUUCAGCACCCGCCGCCGUCUCCAUCUCCCUCACUCGUCGUACCUCCGUCAGCCACGUUCAGCGUUCGCAGCACCGUGGCUAAAAGAUAUCAAUUAUUUCUUCAGGAAUUGAAACAACAAGGGAUACAAGAAGAAAGGCUGCAGCUGCUUGUUAAUGUUACUGGAGCUUUUAGGCCUGGAGUGUUGACAGCAUUGGUUGGAGUAAGCGGGGCUGGAAAACCACGCUAAUGGAUGUCUUGGCUGGAAGAAAAACUGGAGGUGUUGUGAAGCCGCUCUGCUGGCCGUGCCGGGAAACCUGCAGUUAGAUGGACUGAGAUACAAAGCUGGUUUGAGGAUAGGCUCCAAGACUUACCAGAUGACCCUAAUAAUGAAUUGAUGAUUCCCGAAGACCCUGAAUGUAAUAAGGAAGGUGAGCUCUCUUGAAUGCCUAAGGUUCUUAGCGUAGCUUGUGCUUGUGCUUUGCUCGAGCAGUGACUAUCACUGCUGCUUAAGUAUGCUGUAGCCAAUGUAGUUUCUGUUAAGAUAUUUUUUUUUACUAUUUUAUUGCUUUAAA